rnacentral:rRNA from 1 species
AGCCGGCCUUCUGUUGACACCCUUGUCGGUAGAAUCAAAGAUGAGGCCAGGCUUUGGUCUAGGGCAGGUGCCACCGGGCUUAGAACUGUCCUACCGACACACUGGGACGUGCAUUAUUCUUGCUCCUUGUUUGUAACCUCUUAG